UACGGAGGGUGCAAGCGUUGUUCGGAAUCACUGGGCGUAAAGCGCGUGUGGGCGGCCUUCUAAGUCUGAUGUGAAAGCCCGGGGCUCACCCCCGGAAGUGCAUUGGAUACUGGGAGGCUGGAGUACCGGAGAGGAGGGUGGAAUUCCUGGUGUAGCGGUGAAAUGCGUAGAUAUCAGGAGGAACACCGGUGGCGAAGGCGGCCCUCUGGACGGAUACUGACGCUGAGACGCGACAGCGUGGGGAGCAAACAGG
rnacentral:rRNA from 1 species